rnacentral:rRNA from 1 species
CACGUAGGGGACGAGCGUUGUCCGGAUUCAUUGGGCGUAAAGCGCGCGUAGGCGGCUCGGAAAGUCGGUCGUGAAAUGCCGGGGCUCAACCCCGGGACUGCGUCCGAUACUCCCGAGCUGGAGUCAGGUAGGGGAGAUCGGAAUUCCUGGUGUAGCGGUGAAAUGCGCAGAUAUCAGGAGGAACACCGGUGGCGAAGGCGGAUCUCUGGGCCUUGCCUGACGCUGAGGCGCGAAAGCUAGGGGAGCGAACAGG